rnacentral:rRNA from 1 species
GACGAACGCUGGCGGCGUGCUUAACACAUGCAAGUCGAACGGAAAGGCCCUGCUUGUGUGGGGUGCUCGAGUGGCGAACGGGUGAGUAACACGUGAGUAACCUGCCCUUGACUUUGGGAUAACUUCAGGAAACUGGGGCUAAUACCGGAUAGGAGCUCCUGCUGCAUGGUGGGGGGUGGAAAGUUUCGGCGGGUGGGGAUGGACUCGCGGCUUAUCAGCUUGUUGGUGGGGUAGUGGCUUACCAAGGCUUUGACGGAUAGCCGGCCUGAGAGGGUGACCGGCCACAUUGGGACUGAGAUACGGCCCAGACGCCAACGGGAGGCAGCAGUGGGGAAUAUUGCACAAUGGGCGGAAGCCUGAUGCAGCAACGUCGCGUGCGGGAUGACGGCCUUCGGGUUGUAAACCGCUUCCGCCUGUGACGAAGCGUGAGUGACGGUAAUGGGUAAAGAAGCACCGGCUAACUACGUG